AUACGGAGGGUGCAAGCGUUACUCGGAAUCACUGGGCGUAAAGCGCGCGCAGGCGGCUUGGUAAGUUGGAUGUGAAAGCCUACGGCUCAACCGUAGAACUGCAUCCAAAACUGUCAAGCUAGAGUGUGGGAGAGGAAGAUGGAAUUAGUUGUGUAGGGGUAAAAUCCGUAGAGAUAACUAGGAAUACCAAAAGCGAAGGCAAUCUUCUGGAACACUACUGACGCUGAGGCGCGAAAGCGUGGGGAGCAAACAGGAUUAGAUACCCUAGUAGUCC
rnacentral:rRNA from 1 species